GGCCUUAUAGUUUAACUGGAUAAAACACCUGCCUCCUAAGCGGAUGCUCCCAGUUCGAGUCUGGGUAGGGCCA
rnacentral:tRNA from 2 species